rnacentral:rRNA from 1 species
AUUGAACGCUAGCGGGAUGCUUUACACAUGCAAGUCGAACGCGUGGCGGACGGGUGAGUAAUAUAUCGGACCGUGCCCAGUAGCGGGGGAUAACUUCUCGAAAGAGUGGCUAAUACCGCAUACUCUUGGAGCGGCCGAUAUCGGAUUAGCGAGUUGGUGGGGUAAAGGCUCACCAAGGCAACGAUCCGUAGCGGGUUUGAGAGGUGGACCAGCCACACGGGGACUGAACCACGGCCCAGACUCCUACGGGAGGCGGCAGUGGGGAAGUUUGGAAAUGGGGGGAAACCCUGAGCCAGCCAGCCCGCGGGUAGGAGAAGGCUUUCGGGUUGUAAAGUACUUUCAGUCGGGAGGCGUUACCGACAGAAGAAGCACCGGCUAACUCCGUGCCAGCAGCCGCGGUAAUAC